AUAAUAUAAGGCGAUGGAGUUCGCCAGGCAAGAAAACAUAACAAGAUUGCCUAACCGCCAAGUGCUAAUGACUCCUGUUGACUU
rnacentral:ncRNA from 2 species